rnacentral:rRNA from 1 species
GACGUAGGGCGCGAGCGUUGUCCGGAUUUAUUGGGCGUAAAGAGCUCGUAGGCGGCUCAUUGCGUCAACCGUGAAAACCAGCAGCUCAACUGUUGGCUUGCGGUUGAUACGGGUGGGCUAGAGUUCGGUAGGGGAGACUGGAAUUCCUGGUGUAGCGGUGAAAUGCGCAGAUAUCAGGAGGAACACCGGUGGCGAAGGCGGGUCUCUGGGCCGAUACUGACGCUGAGGAGCGAAAGCGUGGGGAGCGAACAGG